UAGGAGUUAGGAUAUGUAAAGAGUCCUGCCCAUUGUCUAUGGGCCAGAGUAUAGGCUUACACUUCUGU
rnacentral:tRNA from 1 species